AGCUUGUGGGUUUCAGCUGCCCUCCUGUGGCCUGGAAAACCGAAGCCAGGGACCCCCUCUGGGGGGGGCGGGUUUGGUUGCCAUGGAGACUUUUUACCUCUCAACCAGCUGAUGUCUGAGCUCCGCCCCCUGCAUCUCCCCAGGUUGGGCCGCCCCUGCUGGGCAGAGUUCUGAGCUCAGACGUGGUCCCUGCCGGGGAAAUGAGACAGGCCAUGCAGAACAGAGGGGGUCCAGCUUUGCCCCGACAACAGUCAUGGUAACUCAGAUGUGCUGAAUGCUCACUCCUGGUGGGGGCCCUCUGUCAGCACCCCAUCUGCUCCCCCACCACCCUGGGAAGUGGAUGACUGCACCCGAACACCUUCAACGACCCAAUAGCGACGCCCUGCCAAAUAUUUCUCAGGAUGCACCAGGUCCUCAUUCAACACACGUUUGCGGUGGGGGACCUGCAAACACGACUGGAUGCUUGCUGUUCUCAGGCCCUGUGAGUGGAGACACCCAGCUCUGACCCUGGGCUGCCUGCACUCCUGGGCAGGCCUCUGGCCCGGCCUGUGUCACGUCGUUGGAACCCUCUGUGUACGUUCCUGUCCCUCUGGCCGGUGGGCAAGGGACCACAUCUCAUUCAUCUUUCUCAUAUCCGGCAAACAGUUGGCAUUGCUACGGGCUGCAGGCUGCAUCUGAGUUGCAGCCUUCCCACAGCAUCGCUGCGCCUCCAGGGGAAGUCCUGGGUCCUUGGCAGCCUCACCAAUGUGCCCAGAAAACCUCACUUUGUGAUCGGUGUGGCCGCCAGGCAGGCAGCUCCCACGUUCCACAGGCUUCAGUCUUUUCUGUCUGGAAGCCCAGAAGUCGGCUUUUUUUUUUUUUUAACUUCUACUGACAGCCCGCGAGUCCUGUGAUUUAUACGAUUAAUAUGAGAAGCAACAUCAUUAUUCCGUUAAUAUAUUAUUCAUUUCACUAGUGAUCUAUUCUCUCCACACCCUGCUCCGAGAGUCAAUUUUCCCUCCCUGCUAUUUUAAUAGAACCGCAUUUUAAAUGGCGAGAAGAG
rnacentral:lncRNA from 1 species